UAGGGAAUCUUGCGCAAUGGGCGAAAGCCUGACGCAGCGACGCCGCGUGAGCGAUGAAGGCCUUCGGGUUGUAAAGCUCUGUGGGGAGGGAAGAAUAAGGUCCACCUAAUACGUGGACCGAUGACGGUACCUCCUUAGCAAGCACCGGCUAACUCUGUG
rnacentral:rRNA from 1 species